AUGUCAUGUCCUCCAGUCAUGUGGUCGGUGACCAGCAUCAUGUGCAAGAUUGGAUUACUGCACGGCAUAGCGGUGCCGCUGAAAUGGCCGCUCGAAGGGACUCCGAGGGGAAGUACUGCUGCGCCUAGCAUCACUCGAUGUGAUGCUAUGAAAACAAUUGCUCGUCGUCGUUCAGCGGCCUUGCUGGAGUUCUGUCGCAAUCCACGAAACACAGUAAAAGCCUUGUCCAGUGGCCUCCGUGGAAGAAAAUGGGAACCAGAGCAAGGCCAUAUGAUGAAGCUCAUCAUUCAACUAUUGGUGGCCGGAGCGCAGGGAUUUUAUUAUCAAAAGUCGCUGAUUAGUUAA
rnacentral:rRNA from 1 species